rnacentral:lncRNA from 1 species
AAGGAGAUCUAGAUGGUGAAGAGGAUCAAUUUAUUUUGAGUUGACCCAAAACUAUUAGGGCUUAGUUUGUUAUUGAGAUCUAUCUAACGCUAUUAGAUAAAAUGGAGUUGAGAAAAAAAUAUAUAGGGAGAUAUUUCUGCGUUCUCCGGUGGGACCGUGGAAAAUUACGUACGGAACGUAAUAUGCAGAAUGCAAUAUUAUGUACGAAAACAAACAGAAUAUUUUUUCAUCGUCGUUUCUCACCACACGUACCACAAUCUCCCUACAAUCUCAAACGAAAUCUAACUCUAUUUUGGAUUUCAGUUAC